UAGCAUGGACUUGUGCAGCUCCUCACCGUGCCCUUCUGAGAGGUCCUUCACAGUUGUGCUCACCGCAUUCUGUUCCGACUGAUGUCCCUGGCCAGGGGGCGGGCUGUUCUGCAAACAGGAAAAUGAUCUGAAGUAGGAGGAAAGAGUUGUUCUCAGCUCCAAGAGAAGGAUCUUUUCAGAAUUAAUGUUUAGGCAGUAACUUAAAUUCCUUUCCCUCCUUCAGUGGCCUCUUAUUUAAAGCAGCACCCAUUAGCAAGGAUGGCGUCAUGUGCCUGUGCACUUAGAACUAACAUGCAGAGUCCCUAACAACUUGCACUUCUUGUAGGAUUCAGUGUCUCACUUUCCGUUUGCUGCUGUGCCCAGGCACCCACUUCAAGGGGAGAACCUUCAUGAUUGGGUCCCUUAUGCUGUUCUUGGAGAUUAUGUGCCUAUUUGGUGUGCUUAGCCUGAAGCAUGGCUUGGAACUAUCCAGUUGAGGAAGUCAUCCUGAAUUUUACGGGCUAGAAAUUCCCAGAAAAUCGCAAGCUUUGUGUAAUAAAGACAGCUUAGAAAUCCAAGGACAACAUACAUGUUUCAAUCAUUUAAACUGGUUUUAGCUAAGGUAUACUUUGUCUUAUAUCAAAAUAAGAAUUUUGUUGGAACCAAUUCCAUUUUUAAUGGAUUCCUAAUAAAAGUUGUGUCUUAGCACUAUUAACUUUAUUUUCUACAUUGCCAAGAGAAUCAGUGUUUCUUGAAUAUGUCUUUGAAAUUUGUGCAAUAUAUUAAAAAUAGUUGAUUUCUUUGCUUUCAAAUUUAGGAUGAAAUAUUGCCUCAAUCAGUAGAAAAGCAGGGGUGCAUCACCCCUUUCCUUGGAGCCUUUUCUGUUCUCAUAGCCAGCACGACUUCUCUUAACUCAGAUCCUUUGUACAUUGUAAAGUUUAGCACAUGUUGUCACCGCUUUCUGAGGCAUUCUGUAAAGGGUUCAUACUAGAUGGUCAGUUAAAUACACGUUAGCAUAGUUGAAAGCUAGAGCAAGAGUUGAGGGAAUACUUGUGUCUUGUAGACUGGAGGCCUUCUCAGCAGCAAAGGCUGUUGUCUCAGAUGGACAGCAGCUUAACGAACGCCCUUUGAAAACUAUAAGGCAACUUUUGAGGCUUUCUGGUUUACAUAUAUGUCAUGGAGAUUUUUUAUUAUUAUUUUGAAAUGUCUAAGUUUUGAUUAAAGUUUACUCCAAUGUGUUGAUGAUGUAAUCAUAUUUAUUGAAAGGCAAAAUAGAAUGUUUUCAUGUUAAACCUGCCAUUUCCCAAGACUAUUCUUUGCAUUUAACUGCCAGUGCCAUUGUCAAAGUUGUACUUUUUUUAUUAAACACAGUGCUUAAUUUUAAAGUAUUAUGUUGCCAUCAUAGUGUAUAAAAUGUAUAAUUGCCAUUCAUUGUAACUAUUAUUUAUUUUUAAACUAAAGUAUAAGAAAACCUUUUGAUUAAAGAAAUUUGUUAUUAAAUUGUUUUCUCUUUUCUGAUGUAGCAUAAAAACUUCUGAGUUUAACUGCCAACAGAUGACCAACCACAAGUGAACCACUUCUCAGUUGCAGCCUUGCUUAUAGCAGAAACAACUUAUAAACAUUUAGUUUUUUUAUCUAAUCUCUGACUAUUAAAAUGUUUAUAAAGUUUAUUUUUACCAAAGAUAUGCAAUUCAUUAUGAUAAAGUUGCAGAAUAAACAUCAUUUUAUAACA
rnacentral:lncRNA from 1 species